rnacentral:misc_RNA from 1 species
GAUGAAGAACGCAGCGAAAUGCGAUAAGUAAUGCGAAUUGCAGAAUUCCAGUGAGUCAUCGAAUCUUUGAACGCACAUUGCGCCCUUUGGUAUUCCGAAGGGCAUGCCUGUUCGAGCGUCAUUAUCACCCCUCAAGCCCUCGGCUUGGUGUUGGACGGUUUGGUGGAGGCCCCCUCGGGGGUUCCUGCCCCUCCCAAAGACAAUGACGGCGGCCUCGUUGGACCCCCGGUACACUGAGUUCUUCACGGGACACGUAUCGGACACAUGGGUUUACGGGACACGGUCUGCCUCCCCUCAGGUAGAAUCUUUCUAAGGUUGACCUCGGAUCAGGUAGGGAUACCCGCUGAACUUAAGCAUAUCAAUAAGCGGAGGA